rnacentral:rRNA from 1 species
GAGGAAGGAGGGGGGGGGGAGAAAAAAAGGAAAUUGGAGGGAACAGACGAGGAGCUUGCUCCUCUGACGUUAGCGGCGGACGGGUGAGUAACACUUGGAUACCCUACCUAUAACACUGGGAUAACUUCGGGAAACCGGAGCUAUUACCGGUUAUUAUAUUUAACCGCAUGGUUCAAUAUUGAAAGACGGUUUUGCUGUCACUUAUAGUUGGAUCCGCGCCGCAUUAGCUAGUUGGUAAGGUAACGGCUUACCAAGGCGACGAUGCGUAGCCGACCUGAGAGGGUGAUCGGCCACACUGGAACUGAGACACGGUCCAGACUCCUACGGGAGGCAGCAGUAGGGAAUCUUCCGCAAUGGGCGAAAGCCUGACGGAGCAACGCCGCGUGAGUGAUGAAGGUCUUCGGAUCGUAAAACUCUGUUAUUAGGGAAGAACAAAUGUGUAAGUAACUAUGCACGUCUUGACGGUACCUAAUCAGAAAGCCACGGCUAACUACGUA